GGCGGCUGGCAGGAGGAGGGGCGGCGGCCAGGCAGCUGGCAAGAGGAGGGGCGGCGGUUCAGGUGGCGCUCAGACUGACAGCAGGCCCACCUGAUGAAGAUCCCUGCAGCGUCUGACGUAGAGCCGGACCUCUGGCUCUGAAGGGUUUCCUGAUGAACAUCCUGCCCUUCCAGAAAUAUAAUCUGCUGUUGGAUGAAUUUCCUGAGUAAAUAAAGGCUGAUUUUGCUUUAUGAA